CAUGUUCUUCUCUCUGCAGGUUGAUUGGCUGCAGUAUUGGAGAGGAAGGCUGUGCUGCUCUGAUUUCAGCUCUGAGAUCAAACCCCUCACACCUGACAGAACUGAAUCUGAGCUAUAAUACACCAGGAGACUCAGGGGUGAAGCUGCUCUCUGCUCUACUGGAGGAUCCACACUGUAAACUGAAGAAACUAUGGCUGAUUAACUGCAGUAUUGGAGAGGAAGGCUGUGCUGCUCUGAUUUCAGCUCUGAGAUCAAACCCCUCACACCCGACAGAACUGGAUCUGAGCUAUAAUACACCAGGAGACUCAGGGGUGAAGCUGCGCUCUGCUGUACUGGAGGAUCCACACUGUAAACUGAAGAAACUACUUAUUUGACAGUGGAAACUCCACAAGCUCCAAACAACUGAAU